UCAAAGUGCUGGGAUUACAGGACAUUGAGGAGAGCCGGAACCUGAUUGUUCAGGGGUUUUAUUGGUUGGUGUCCAACACUGAAUGAUGAAAUCAAAGAGUAAUGGAGUUUGCAGGAACCCCAGGAGAACAUCUGGCCUAGCGUUCUGUCUUCUGGUUGCUGAGUAACUAAACCAUCUAGGACAGAUGAUUCCUCAAAAACUGAAGCUGCGGUUUUGAAGGUGGUGUGCCAAGCCGGUUGUGUCUGGUGUUCCCACGUGCCCCACUGGCACCAGUGCCUUCUCUGUACCCUUGUGCGUAUCUCCCCUCACCCAUAGUCCUCUGUUGGGAGGCUGGGAGCCUUCUGAGCAGGAUGGCUUUGUUUCACAAGGUCCCAGAGAAAGGAUGAAGCCCAGUCCACCGGAAGUGGAAGUUGGAGAGAAAGGUGAGGGACAGGAAGUGGGAAGACAGCGCCUGGGACCCACAGUCAUGCACCCGCAGCUCAGCGCUUCCGAGAAGGGAGGAAGACGAGCGGCAGGGGCAGUAAGAUUUGCACACUUUGGGUCCUGGGACCAUCCUGCUCAGCUGAGUGGAAUACCAAACGAAGUGCUCCCAGCCGCACUUCACCUCAGCCAGGCAAUCGACAGGAGAAGCAGCGAGCGAGACCGACAGACUGUCACUGGCAAAAUGAACUGUCACCUCCCAUUUUUCAGAGGCACAGCGGGAUGAAUUGCAGCCUUGAACCGUGCGGCCCGCUUCUGAUUGAGUUCCGCUGUCUUAGAACCCCGUCGAACAAGGCGAGUUCAUUUCAGACUGACGUCCCACCGCUUAUCAAUUUAGGAGCCAGUAAAAUUAACCGCUUCGGAGCUGAUUUUCUCCCUCCCCUUGCUUGGAUUCAGCAUCCGGAAAGGUCACCAAAUAAAUCUCUCUGGGUUUUGCUAGCAUAAUACGCAGCUUGGGGACGGGGGUCUCAGAAGAGAAGGCUGAACCAAAUAUAGCCUAGGCAGGGAAAGUUGCUGAGACCCCCU